GUCUUUUUGGUUAUUUAAUAUAAAGUCUGACCUGCCCACUGAAUUUAUUUUGAAGGGCCGCAGUAUUUUGACUGUGCAAAGGUAGCAUAAUCAUUAGUCUUUUAAUUGAAGGCUGGCAUGAAUGGUUGGAUGAGGUAUAAGCUGUGUCAUAAAAAUUAAUUUUUGAAUUUACCUUUUUAGUCAAAAGGCUAAAAUAAAAUUAAAAGACGAGAAGACCCUAUAGAGCUUUAUAUAAUUUAUAUUUAAAUUAUUAAGAUUUUUUAAAUUUAAUUAUAUUAUUAUAUUUUGUUGGGGUGACAAUAAAAUUUAUAAAACUUUUAUUUUUAUUUUAUCAUUAAUUUAUGAAUAUAUGAUCCAAUUUUAUUGAUUAUAAAUUUAAGUUACCUUAGGGAUAACAGCGUAAUUUUUUUUGAGAGUUCUUAUCGACAAAAAAGAUUGCGACCUCGAUGUUGGAUUAAGAGUAAUUUUGGGUGUAGAAGUUCAAAGUUUAAGUCUGUUCGACUUUUAAAUUCUUACAU
rnacentral:rRNA from 1 species